rnacentral:rRNA from 1 species
UACGUAGGGUGCAAGCGUUUAAUCGGAAUUACUGGGCGUAAAGCGUGCGCAGGCGGUGAUGUAAGACAGGUGUGAAAUCCCCGGGCUUAACCUGGGAACUGCAUUUGUGACUGCAUCGCUGGAGUGCGGCAGAGGGGGAUGGAAUUCCGCGUGUAGCAGUGAAAUGCGUAGAUAUGCGGAGGAACACCGAUGGCGAAGGCAAUCCCCUGGGCCUGCACU